GAAUGUAGCUCAGUGAUUGAACACUUGCCUAGCAUGCAGGAAGCCUUGGGUUCAAUCCCCAGAACCAUACA
rnacentral:tRNA from 1 species